rnacentral:misc_RNA from 1 species
CCGAGUUUACAACUCCCAAACCCCUGUGAACAUACCACUUGUUGCCUCGGCGGAUCAGCCCGCUCCCGGUAGAACGGGACGGCCCGCCAGAGGACCCCUAAACUCUGUUUCUAUAUGUAACUUCUGAGUAAAACCAUAAAUAAAUCA